CGCCUCUCCCUCCACACCUCCCUGCAAGCUGAGGGAGCUGGCUCUGGCCUUGGCCAGCCUAGAAAGGGGUUCGCACAGUGCAGCGGUGGGCUGAAGGGCUCCUCAAGUGCCGCCAAAGUGGUAGCCCAGGCAGAGGAGGCGCCCAGAGCCAGCGAGGGCUGGAGGACUGUCAGCACACUGUCACCUCUUACCACCAUGUGAAGAAGAGUUUCUCUCCGUCACCCAGGCUGGAGUGCAAUGGUGCAAUCUCGGCUCACUGCAACCUCUGCCUCCCAGGUUCAAGCGAUUCUUCUGCCUCAGCCUCCCAAGUAGCUGAGAUUACAGGUGCCAGAUGUGUGAGUGAAGAAGCCUUUGAGAAGACCCCAGCCACAGUCAUCAUUAGACUACAACCUCCUGAGAGUCUCCAGCCAGUCACCCAGCUGAACCGCUCUUGAAUUCUUCACCCAAAGAAAUCUGGCUCCGUGUACUAGAAGAAGGAAGAGAUAAAGUGAAGACAGAUAAUGUGCUGUGGCUUUCUGGAAUACCAUCAAGACUUUGAGAUAUUAAUGUUAUAAUGGAAUAAACUUGGAAUCCAGAGGUGUAGAUUCAAGUCCCAGAUCUCCAAUUUGUUGACAAAAAGGGCUCAUGAAAUAAAAAUCAGCUUUUUGCCAGCAGUGGUGGCUCAUGCCUGUAAUCCCAGAACGUUGGAAGGCCAAAGCAGGCAGACCACCUGAGGCCAGGAGUUCGAGACCAGCCCGUCCAACAUGGUGAGAAGACACAUAGAAGCAAUUAAAGGACCAAAAAGUGGAUCUUCUAGCAAUGGGGAGACAUUCUGAAUAGCUGUGAGUUGUGCACCUGUGUUUCCACCAGGACCCUGCCACAUGAGAUUAGGUGUGGGAUUUUCCACUUGUGGUGUCAUGCCGGCACUUGAACAUUUUCAAAUUUUGAACCAUUUCAGAUUUCGAAUGUUUGGAUUAGAGAUGCUCAACCUGUAUACAAUAUUGGAGAAAAAAAUAACAUUAGAGUAUAGAUCAUUAAUAAUGAUUUUCAUUAUAUUUUAGACCUGUUUAUAAUCCUUUACUGUCAAUUAAGAUGAUGUAAAAAUCCACUUUAAAUUGAAAGCGUGUGCAAAA